rnacentral:rRNA from 1 species
CGUAGGGUGCGAGCGUUAAUCGGAAUUACUGGGCGUAAAGUGUGCGCAGGCGGCGCUGCAAGUCGAGUGUGAAAUCCCCGAGCUUAACUUGGGAAUUGCGCUCGAAACUACGGCGCUGGAGUAUGGCAGAGGAAGGUGGAAUUCCACGUGUAGCGGUGAAAUGCGUAGAGAUGUGGAGGAACACCGAUGGCGAAGGCAGCCUUCUGGGCCAAUACUGACGCUCACGCACGAAAGCGUGGGGAGCAAACAGGAUUAGAUACCCUGGUAGUCCACGCCCUAAACGAUGAUGACUAGUUGUUGGAGGAGUUAAAUCCUUUAGUAACGCAGCUAACGCGUGAAGUCAUCCGCCUGGGGAGUACGGUCGCAAGAUUA